UUUGGAAUGUGAGGAAUAAAUGAUAAACAGUGCAAAUUAACAGAUGAAAUGAAAGAAAAAUAAAUACAUAUGGUGAUAGUCUGUGAAACUAAGAGAAAAAUGUAAGAGAUCUGAAUGAAAUUUUUGUGGAGUAGAUGAUUACAUGUACAAUAAUAAUACAAAUAUAUAGUAAUUUAUUAAAUCUAUAUGCCACCUGAUUCUAAGAGACUCUGAAUAAAGGUAUUAAUAAUGGAUAAAAAGGCUCAAUUUAUGUCAAAUUAAAAAGUGGUGUCAAUUAAGUUAUUGUAAAUGUGGAUGAAACUAGGAAUUCAUAGAUUGAUGAUAGGGUGCCCCAGUGAAUGGAGACAGUGUAAUAGUACAACCAAAGAAGUCUUUGGGAAUAUAUUUUAAAACUUUCUAAAUUAUUACAGUUGAAAUGAAGAAAGUUAUUGUGUUAGAUGAAAUGACUAGAUGGGUUGAACAUGAUGAGAAGAUAAGAACAAAGGGUAUGGCUGCCUUAAAGCCCUUAGAAUGAAUGAGGAUGGAGACUGUUGAGUAAGCAUAUACAUAAAGUAAGAUCUGUGUGAAAAUAUGGUUAACGUACAC